AGAUUGAACGCUGGCGGCAUGCCUAACACAUGCAAGUCGAACGGGAGUAGCAAUACUCUAGUGGCGGACGGGUGAGGAAUACGUAGGAAUUUGCCCUUAAGUGGGGGAUAACCCGGGGAACCCGGAUUAAUACCGCAUGACCUCGAAAGAGCAAAGUGGGGGAUCGCAAGACCUCACGCUUUUGGAGAAGCCUACGUCGGAUUAGCUAGUUGGUGAGGUAAUGGCUCACCGAAGGCGACGAUCCGUAACUGGUCUGAGAGGAUGAUCAGUCACACCGG
rnacentral:rRNA from 1 species